AGAGUUUGAUCCUGGCUCAGAUUGAACGCUGGCGGCAGGCUUAACACAUGCAAGUCGAGCGGUAACAGGAAUUAGCUUGCUAAUUUGCUGACGAGCGGCGGACGGGUGAGUAACGCGUAGGAAUCUGCCUGGUAGUGGGGGACAACAUGUGGAAACGCAUGCUAAUACCGCAUACGCCCUACGGGGGAAAGGAGGGGAUCUUCGGACCUUUCGCUAUCAGAUGAGCCUGCGUGAGAUUAGCUAGUUGGUGGGGUAAAGGCUCACCAAGGCGACGAUCUCUAGCUGGUCUGAGAGGAUGAUCAGCCACACUGGGACUGAGACACGGCCCAGACUCCUACGGGAGGCAGCAGUGGGGAAUAUUGGACAAUGGGCGCAAGCCUGAUCCAGCCAUGCCGCGUGUGUGAAGAAGGCCUUCGGGUUGUAAAGCACUUUCAGAGGUGAGGAAGGGUGUGUAGUUAAUACCUACAUAUCUUGACGUUAGCUUCAGAAGAAGCACCGGCUAACUCUGUGCCAGCAGCCGCGGUAAUAC
rnacentral:rRNA from 1 species